AGGGCACUACCAGGAGUGGAUCCUGCGACUCAAUUUGACUCAACACGGGAAAGCUCACCUGGUCCGGACACUGGAAGGAUUGACAGAUUAAGAGCUCUUUCUUGAUUCGGUGGGUGGUGGUGCAUGGCCGUUCUUAGUUGGUGGAGCGAUUUGUCUGGUUAAUUCCGAUAACGAACGAGACUCUAGCCUAUUAAAUAGGUGUUCCGAUCCCAUCAGUCGGACGCUCUUCUUAGAGGGACAAGCGGCGUUUAGCCGCACGAGACAGAGCAAUAACAGGUCUGUGAUGCCCUUAGAUGUCCGGGGCCGCACGCGCGCUACACUGAAGGAACCAGCGUGUGUACCUGUCCGGCAGGACUGGGUAAUCCGUUGAACCUCCUUCGUGAUAGGGAUAGGGGCUUGUAAUUGUUCCCCUUGAACGAGGAAUUCCCAGUAAGCGUGAAUCAUCAGUUCACGUUGAUUACGUCCCUGGCCUUUGUACACACCGCCCGUCGCUACUACUGAUUGGAUGAUUUAGUGAGG
rnacentral:rRNA from 1 species